GAGUUUGAUCCUGGCUCAGGACGAACGCUGGCGGCGUGCUUAACACAUGCAAGUCGAACGAUGAACCUCUUCGGAGGGGAUUAGUGGCGAACGGGUGAGUAACACGUGGGCAAUCUGCCCUGCACUCUGGGACAAGCCCUGGAAACGGGGUCUAAUACCGGAUAUGACCUGCGACCGCAUGGUCUGUACGUGGAAAGCUCCGGCGGUGCAGGAUGAGCCCGCGGCCUAUCAGCUUGUUGGUGGGGUGAUGGCCUACCAAGGCGACGACGGGUAGCCGGCCUGAGAGGGCGACCGGCCACACUGGGACUGAGACACGGCCCAGACUCCUACGGGAGGCAGCAGUGGGGAAUAUUGCACAAUGGGCGAAAGCCUGAUGCAGCGACGCNGCGUGAGGGAUGACGGCCUUCGGGUUGUAAACCUCUUUCAGCAGGGAAGAAGCGCAAGUGACGGUACCUGCAGAAGAAGCACCGGCUAACUACGUGCCAGCAGCNNNNNUAAUNNGUAGGGUGCGAGCGUUGUCCGGAAUUAUUGGGCGUAAAGAGCUCGUAGGCGGCUUGUCACGUCGGAUGUGAAAGCCCGGGGCUUAACCCCGGGUCUGCAUUCGAUACGGGCAGGCUAGAGUUCGGUAGGGGAGAUCGGAAUUCCUGGUGUAGCGGUGAAAUGCGCAGAUAUCAGGAGGAACACCGGUGGCGAAGGNGGAUCUCUGGGCCGAUACUGACGCUGAGGAGCGAAAGCGUGGGGAGCGAACAGGAUUAGAUACCCUGGUAGUCCACGCNGUAAACGUUGGGAACUAGGUGUGGGCGACAUUCCACGUCGUCCGUGCCGCAGCUAACGCAUUAAGUUCCCNNCCU
rnacentral:rRNA from 1 species